CCAACGGCUCUUUUAAGAGCCACCCACUAUUGUCCGGAAAAGGGCUG
rfam:Caprimulgus carolinensis contig7077, whole genome shotgun sequence.